AAAAGUGAGAGAUGGAAAUGACUGCUGGCAAUUUUACGGCGUCACUAGACUCACGCAGAGGAACAAAAAUUUCCCGGAUUAAGUCGGGAUUUUAUCACUCUCUAUCAAGUUAAUCACUCAGGAAGGAUUUAUGAGGAGAUCCCUUUAAAAUCGCCGGUUUGGCUGCCACCCCUUCAUUGCUAAUCAGAUAUUCCAAGCUUUCUGCAGUGAAAAGAGAUUCAUCUUUGUGAAAUAUUUAUGCAGCUAGUACUAGUUUGUUAUCAGAGAAUUUGGAUUGGGUGCUGAAAUAUAAUAAGUAAGAGAUUGUACUUAAAUAGAGUACAUUUUGUCAGAACUUCCCUAAGAAAUUUGCUA